GGUGGGGUUCCCGAGUGGCCAAAGGGAACAGACUGUAAAUCUGUCGUCAACGACUUCGAUGGUUCAAAUCCAUCCCCCACCACCA
rnacentral:tRNA from 1 species